UGCUGGUUGCCUUUUGAUGGGCUAAUCCCAACAAUGCAUCCACGAUUUGCCUGUGUAUUAGUAGAAGCGGGAGCAUUGAAGUUCUGAGUUUGUGGCUGAACAAAGCCAAACGGAUUCAUCAUAGGUAACUGGCCUAGCAUUUGCUGAUUCACAUUAGGCAUUUGCUGGACAGCUCCAUUGGCAUUCAAAAGACCCAACUGUGCAUUCAUAGAAAAAUUGGGAAUUUGAGGCCCCAUACCCUGACAUACCUGUGUAUUAGCAGAAGUAGGAGCAUUAAAAUUCUGAGUUUGUGCCUGCUGAGCAAAGCCAAAAGAAUUCAUCAGAGGCAACUGUCCUUGCAAUUGCUGAGUCACAUUAGGCAUUUGCUUGGACAAGCCACUCUUAGACUGCUGGGCGGCUACAUUGGCAUUCACAAGACCCAAAUGAGCAUUCAUACCAAAAUUGGAACUUUGAGGACCCAUAGCCUGAGAAACCUGUGGGUUAGCAGAAGCAGGAGAAUUGAAAUUCUGAG
rnacentral:misc_RNA from 1 species